UGCUUUAACAUGGGAGUACCUGC
rnacentral:miRNA from 1 species